rnacentral:misc_RNA from 1 species
UUAUUGAUUACAUAUGAUGACGUUCAAGACACUGAUGUUUGUAAAAGACCCCGGGGGGCCACGGUUCACAGAGGUCGGUUGGAUAAGCCCGGAGGCGUUCACUAAUGAUCCUUCCGCAGGUUCACCUACGGAAA